rnacentral:rRNA from 1 species
CCUACGGGAGGCUGCAGUGGGGAAUAUUGCACAAUGGGGGAAACCCUGAUGCAGCGAAGCCGCGGGAAGGAAGAAGGAGUUCGGGAGGUAAAAUUCGAUCAGCAGGGAAGAAAAUGACGGUACCUGACUAAGAAGCCCCGGCUAACUACGGGACAGCAGCCGCGGUAAUACGUAGGGGGCAAGCGUUAUCCGGAUUUACUGGGUGUAAAGGGAGCGUAGGCGGUUUAGCAAGUCAGAAGUGAAAGCCCGGGGCUCAACUCCGGGACUGCUUUUGAAACUGUUGAACUAGAUUGCAGGAGAGGUAGGUGGAAUUCCUGGUGUAGCGGUGCAAUGCGUAGAUAUUAGGAGGAACCCCAGUGGCGAAGGCGGCUUACUGGACUGUAACUGACGCUGAGGCUCGAAAGCGUGGGGAGCAAACAGGAUUAGAUACCCUAGUAGUC